rnacentral:rRNA from 1 species
UACGAAGGGGGCUAGCGUUGCUCGGAAUCACUGGGCGUAAAGGGUGCGUAGGCGGGUUUUUAAGUCAGGGGUGAAAUCCUGGAGCUCAACUCCAGAACUGCCUUUGAUACUGAAGAUCUUGAGUCCGGGAGAGGUGAGUGGAACUGCGAGUGUAGAGGUGAAAUUCGUAGAUAUUCGCAAGAACACCAGUGGCGAAGGCGGCUCACUGGCCCGGUAAUGACGCUGAGGCACGAAAGCGUGGGGAGCAAACAGG